AAUGAACGCUGGCGGCAUGCCUAACACAUGCAAGUCGAACGAAGUGCCUUCGGGUACUUAGUGGCGCACGGGUGCGUAACGCGUGGGAAUCUACCCCUUGGUUCGGAAUAACAGUUGGAAACGACUGCUAAUACCGGAUGAUGACGUAAGUCCAAAGAUUUAUCGCCGAGGGAUGAGCCCGCGUAGGAUUAGGUAGUUGGUGUGGUAAAGGCGCACCAAGCCGACGAUCCUUAGCUGGUCUGAGAGGAUGAUCAGCCACACUGGGACUGAGACACGGCCCAGACUCCUACGGGAGGCAGCAGUGGGGAAUAUUGGACAAUGGGCGAAAGCCUGAUCCAGCAAUGCCGCGUGAGUGAUGAAGGCCUUAGGGUUGUAAAGCUCUUUUACCCGGGAUGAU
rnacentral:rRNA from 1 species